CGCGGGGUGGAGCAGCCUGGUAGCUCGUCGGGCUCAUAACCCGAAGGUCGUCGGUUCAAAUCCGGCCCCCACAACCA
rnacentral:tRNA from 3 species